UACGUAGGGGGCAAGCGUUGUCCGGAAUUAUUGGGCGUAAAGGGCGCGUAGGCGGCCUUCUAAGUCAGACGUGAAAUCCCCCGGCUUAACCUGGGAACUGCGUCUGAUACUGGGAGGCUUGAGUAUGGGAGAGGGAUGUAGAAUUCCAGGUGUAGCGGUGAAAUGCGUAGAUAUCUGGAGGAAUACCGGUGGCGAAGGCGGCAUCCUGGACCAUUACUGACGCUGAGGCGCGAAAGCUAGGGGAGCAAACGGG
rnacentral:rRNA from 1 species